ensembl:snRNA U4 U4 spliceosomal RNA
AGCUUUGCGCAGUGGCAGUAUCAUAGCCAAUGAGGUUUAUCUGAGGCGCGAUUAUUGCUAAUUGAAACACACAACCUACCAAUUCUGAAUCAGGAAGAAAUUAAAGACCUGAAGAGACCAAUUACUAGUAAGGAAUUUGAAUC